rnacentral:rRNA from 1 species
GUUUCAGCAGCCGCGGUAAUACGUAGGGUGCGAGCGUUAUCCGGAAUUAUUGGGCGUAAAGAGCUCGUAGGCGGUUUGUCGCGUCUGUCGUGAAAGUCCGGGGCUUAACCCCGGAUCUGCGGUGGGUACGGGCAGACUAGAGUGCAGUAGGGGAGACUGGAAUUCCUGGUGUAGCGGUGGAAUGCGCAGAUAUCAGGAGGAACACCGAUGGCGAAGGCAGGUCUCUGGGCUGUAACUGACGCUGAGGAGCGAAAGCAUGGGGAGCGAACAGGAUUAGAUACCCUGGUAGUCCAUGCCGUAAACGUUGGGCACUAGGUGUGGGGACCAUUCCACGGUUUCCGCGCCGCAGCUAACGCAUUAAGUGCCCCGCCUGGGGAGUACGGCCGCAAGGCUAAAACUCAAAGGAAUUGACGGGGGCCCGCACAAGCGGCGGAGCAUGCGGAUUAAUUCGAUGCAACGCGAAGAACCUUACCAAGGCUUGACAUGUUCUCGAUCGCCGUAGAGAUACGGUUUCCCCUUUGGGGCGGGUUCACAGGUGGUGCAUGGUUGUCGUCAGCUCGUGUCGUGAGAUGUUGGGUUAAGUCCCGCAACGAGCGCAACCCUCGUUCCAUGUUGCCAGCACGUAAUGGUGGGGACUCAUGGGAGACUGCCGGGGUCAACUCGGAGGAAGGUGAGGACGACGUCAAAUCAUCAUGCCCCUUAUGUCUUGGGCUUCACGCAUGCUACAAUGGCCGGUACAAUGGGUUGCGAUACUGUGAGGUGGAGCUAAUCCCAAAAAGCCGGUCUCAGUUCGGANUGGGGUCUGCAACUCGACCCCAUGAAGUCGGAGUCGCUAGUAAUCGCAGAUCAGCAGCCGCGGUGAAUACGUUCCCGGGCCUUGUACACACCGCCCGUCAAAC